rnacentral:rRNA from 1 species
UACGAAUGGGGCAAGCGUUGUUCGGAAUCACUGGGCUUAAAGCGUGCGCAGGCGGACUCACAAGUCAGGAGUGAAAUCCCAGGGCUUAACCCUGGAAUUGCUUUUGAAACUGUAAGUCUAGAAUACCGGAGAGGUUAGGAGAAUUCCGAGUGUAGAGGUGAAAUUCGCAGAUAUUCGGAGGAAUACCAGUGGCGUAGGCGCCUAACUGGACGGUUAUUGACACUCAGGCACGAAAGCGUGGGGAGCAAACAGG